AUGAAAGUUCAUCUAUGAUACAGAAGUUCAGGGAAAAUUUGCAAGACAAAAUGCAAUCUGCUGUCCACUGGGAUUGGUGUGUUGUGAGCUGUCAGUAGACUAAUCAUAACCAUUACAAAUCUACUCUGAAAUGUUAAAAUAGGAAAAAACAAAGCAAAACAAAACAAAACAAAAAAAACAGAGCUAGAAGGUCUGAUUCCUAUAGGCUGAUGAAAAGAAUUGGGUGCUGGCUUUUUUUGUGUGUGUGUUAACAUAACACAUGUUGCAAUGCAGAAAAUUACAGAGCAGGUGGAAGAUCAGGAGUGCAUAGAAACUUUGAGCAUGUUUCACUUCCCUGCUCCUUAGUUAGGGGUUAAUGCAACACUGCUAAAUUGAUUCUGCCAGAUUUUUCUAUUCCCCUAAUCCAGGAGAAAUGUAACUCACAAACUAUACCUUAUUUGUUUCUUUGCUUUUUUGUUUGCUUUCCUCAUGCUGCUUCUUCACUUAUAUGUUGCUCCGGAGUUACUCAAAUAAUAAAUGGAAUAUUGAUCCCUAUGGAAAUCAUUAGUUUGUUACACUAUUAGAUUGUUACACUAUGUUUUGAGGGUUAUGGAAAUUUUCCGAAAUAGAAAAAUCAUUUUCUUGCUAUUCUUAGUGUGAAAGUGCCUUAAUAUUCCACUGUGAUAUAUAUGCUUGUGUUUUUGUUUGUCCGUUUCCUUAUCCCUUAGUAAUAUAAUUUAAACAUAUUGGCCCCGGUUAAACCAAAUGAAAAAUGAGAGCAAUUAAAAAAACAUAACAAAGAAAAGUGCAUAGAGGACAGUGAGGCAUAUUAUUACCCCAGUGAUGAGGAACUUGCAGAAUUUGCUCAGCUCUUAUUAGAGCUGUUAGAGAGACCACACAAGGAUUCUAGAAAUGUGUAAUUGUACAAAAAAUCGGCUGCUGAAACUCACACUGUGUUAAACAUAAGGGAAUUAAGCUGACAGGUGCGAAUCAUACAACUGGAAAGAAGCAAGUUUUCUUUAAUUCUACUACUCAUGGAACAAACUGUUUUCUGUGAUUUAAGCCCGAUCCCCAUAAAUGUGAAUAGUUUGAAUUGCUUUCAAAAUAAAUCCUAGUUCUUUGACUCCUGUUCUGCAAUGCUUGCUUGAUGGUAUUCCCCACUAAUCAAGCUUUUUUUCCCACCGGAUAGUUUUCUAAAACAGUUGUUCCAGGACAGCCUUCAGGUAGCAAACUAGAAAGAGCUAAGAAGAUAACUUGAUAAAAGGCUAAGGGAAAAACUUCCGUAGGUUUAAAAAAGAAGCUGUAUUUCUAUUAGGGUAUGUUUUUAUUUAUUUUCUUUUUUACUAAUACCAGUUUUUGACUCCAGGCUAAAUUUUAAAAAUUAGUCCCAUAUGUAGUACUGAAGCAACUUUUUGCAACAAAAAAAAUUCUAAUGAAAAAAUAAAUAAUGUACUGCAUAAUUGUGUACCCAGUUAGCAUUAAUAAAGCAUCAUGUGUGCAAUUUUUCGAACUAAAAGUAGCGCUGUGGUUGUCACGUAUUACUGUACACAUAGUUUGAUUGUCGCAGAGUAGACAUCUGCCAGAAACAUUUCAGUUUAGCAUGAUGAGCAUACCGUAACCCUGUCAAAAAUCCCAUAACAAUGCUGAAGUGUUGCUUUGAAUAUGGGUUGAAAAACAGAAAUAAGUGUAUUGAAGAAGGUUUUCAAAUUCUCUCCGAAUCCAGUCAUUACUGGUGCAGUGGCCAGGCAUGUAGGAAUGCUGCUGCUCCAUGGGGGAUUCCUGGGAAGUGAACAUUACUUAGUUAAUCAGGGUAGUGAAAGAAAAGACACUGUUAUAGAUGGUAGGUGCUCCAAGAAGGCUCUCAGCCCCGCAGCAAGGAUGCGAGCACACUAAGGGCAUGCCAUUUACACAACAGUGUAAAGAUUUUUGUAGUAUCAUUGUUGAAGACUCCUCUUAAAAGUAAAAUGGCGAGGGUAUAAUUUGUUUGUUUGUGAUGUCUUCUGCGGUGAUGUUAUUCUAGAUGCCUAAUUUUUUACGAACUAUAUAUGGAACACUGUGAACAGUGCUGCUUGGUUUAAUAUACUCGAAUCCUUUUUUUCUGAGUUAUUUGGGCCCAGUUCUGAGUUCAAUAGAAGACACAGUCUGGGAAAGCACAUGCUGUCCAGAGGCUUAAUGGCAAUUCUCUAGGAUCCUGACAUUUCAAGAAAUAGCGUAUCAAGAAUGGUAAGUACUCUUACAUCUUUGAUAAAAGAUUUCUCAAUGUGGUAUGUGGCUUAAAUAAAUGUAGGCUAUCUCACUUUUUUUCUCAGGUUACAUCUGUUUGUAUUUUCAGCAGAAGCCAAAGGAGUUCCUGCACAUUUCAAACAGAAGAUAAUAUAUGAUCCUGGGAUGUAUCUUCAUAGGCCCACUGCCCACCUGUAUGAGUAUUUUUAUAGUCUUCAGCCAACCCUGAGCCAGCAGUUUUCCACCUUUCUGUCAAAAACAUUUUUUGAGUAAACAUUGCAAGACAAAAGUAUGUUUGACUAGAGUCACUCAAGCUCCAUCUGAAGAGGUAAAUUACGUCUUCAUUGUGAAAUGACAAAGCACCCACUAAACUGAGCUGUAGUGGUUGAAGCCUGGUAAGUUUAUUCCUGAUCAUGCAGAAUGAUGAUGUGGGACUUGAUUUUUAUCAGAAAUGCUUAUAGAGUAAACUCAUGUGAAUCUGUGUAAGUGUUCAGGAAGAAAUUAAGGGUAACAGAAAUGUAG
ensembl:lncRNA